GAUGAACGCUGGCGGCGUGCCUAAUACAUGCAAGUCGAGCGAACGGACGAGAAGCUUGCUUCUCUGAUGUUAGCGGCGGACGGGUGAGUAUCACGUGGAUAACCUACCUAUAAGACUGGGAUAACUUCGGGAAACCGGAGCUAAUACCGGAUAAUAUUUUGAACCGCAUGGUUCAAAAGUGAAAGACGGUCUUGCUGUCACUUAUAGAUGGAUCCGCGCUGCAUUAGCUAGUUGGUAAGGUAACGGCUUACCAAGGCAACGAUGCAUAGCCGACCUGAGAGGGUGAUCGGCCACACUGGAACUGAGACACGGUCCAGACUCCUACGGGAGGCAGCAGUAGGGAAUCUUCCGCAAUGGGCGAAAGCCUGACGGAGCAACGCCGCGUGAGUGAUGAAGGUCUUCGGAUCGUAAAACUCUGUUAUUAGGGAAGAACAUAUGUGUAAGUAACUGUGCACAUCUUGACGGUACCUAAUCAGAAAGCCACGGCUAACUACGUGCCAGCAGCCGCGGUAAUACGUAGGUGGCAAGCGUUAUCCGGAAUUAUUGGGCGUAAAGCGCGCGUAGGCGGUUUUUUAAGUCUGAUGUGAAAGCCCACGGCUCAACCGUGGAGGGUCAUUGGAAACUGGAAAACUUGAGUGCAGAAGAGGAAAGUGGAAUUCCAUGUGUAGCGGUGAAAUGCGCAGAGAUAUGGAGGAACACCAGUGGCGAAGGCGACUUUCUGGUCUGUAACUGACGCUGAUGUGCGAAAGCGCGGGGAUCAAACAGGAUUAGAUACCCUGGUAGUCCACGCCGUAAACGAUGAGUGCUAAGUGUUAGGGGGUUUCCGCCCCUUAGUGCUGCAGCUAACGCAUUAAGCACUCCGCCUGGGGAGUACGACCGCAAGGUUGAAACUCAAAGGAAUUGACGGGGACCCGCACAAGCGGUGGAGCAUGUGGUUUAAUUCGAAGCAACGCGAAGAACCUUACCAAAUCUUGACAUCCUUUGACAACUCUAGAGAUAGAGCUUUCCCCUUCGGGGGACAAAGUGACAGGUGGUGCAUGGUUGUCGUCAGCUCGUGUCGUGAGAUGUUGGGUUAAGUCCCGCAACGAGCGCAACCCUUAAGCUUAGUUGCCAUCAUUAAGUUGGGCACUCUAAGUUGACUGCCGGUGACAAACCGGAGGAAGGUGGGGAUGACGUCAAAUCAUCAUGCCCCUUAUGAUUUGGGCUACACACGUGCUACAAUGGACAAUACAAAGGGCAGCGAAACCGCGAGGUCAAGCAAAUCCCAUAAAGUUGUUCUCAGUUCGGAUUGUAGUCUGCAACUCGACUACAUGAAGCUGGAAUCGCUAGUAAUCGUAGAUCAGCAUGCUACGGUGAAUACGUUCCCGGGUCU
rnacentral:rRNA from 1 species